UCAGUGUCCUUUCUACUUGCUCAAUAUCACCUUAUAAGUUCCCAGAGGGCUGAAUCACAAAUAAGUAAUUCAUGAUUUAUCCAACAAAUAUUUAUUCAAUUUUUAUGUUUUAGUCACCGCUAUUAACUGAGUCUUGGGAAAAUUAGUAACCAAAAGAGGAAAAAUCCUGGCUCUCAUGUGUUGUAUAAUUUAACGGAGGAGCCAUCCUCUCUGUCUUUACUCAGUCUCUAUGUACAUUCAGUUGUGUCAUAGCUGACAUUAUUGGGAAUAUUAAUGAUCAAGAGACAAACAGACAAACGAUUUCUUCUCUCAAAUUAUAACCUAGUGGGAUGAGAGAAUAUAAACAAAAGUAAUCAAAUUAUUGGAGUAGGGAGUUUGUUCAUCUUGUUCAUCACUGUAUAUCCAGUGCCUAGAUUGUGCUGCUGUUGUUAUUAGAGAACAAAAAGGUAACCAACUGCAAAAGACAAAUUUAAAAAUUAACAGAAAUAAUUAUUAGAUACUUCAUUCUCCUCAGUUUCUCUUCUCUCAUAUGUCAAGUCUAUCACCAAAUUGAUCCCUUACUUUUACUCUCCAGUCACUUUUAUUCCAUAUGACUAAAACUGGCAUAAUCGUUUCUUAAAAAGUAGACUGUUAGAUACUACUUACCAUUACCCAGGUAUGACCCAAGUAAUAGCAGAGGCCACAUGGGGAUUUCAGCUUCCAGGACAAAUACGUUACAACUGUACUUGCAGUGAAACACUUUUGCGGAUGAGCGUUGAAUGAGAACAGGUGGUGUUGUAGUUGAGAAAUAUUUUGGCUGUGACUAAGAAAGGAACGAGAAUGAAAUAGAAUAGUUUUAUCUGGCACCUGAAUCUCUUUUGACUCAUAAACAAAUAUACUGCAAUCUUACAUUAGUGUUCUCAAAAUUUGUGGCCUUAGGACCCCUUUGUGGACUACUGUUAACCCAAAGCUUCUGUUUAUUUGGUUAUACUUAUUGACACUUAACAAGUUAGAAAUUAAAAUUAAGAGACUUUAAUACACAGGAAUGUGACGGCACAUUUCAUGAGCUUUCUGAGUAAUGACAUUUCUUGUCAUGUAGCAUCUGUACUCACUGCUGUAUACUUGUAAGAUAAUGGGUUUAAUUACUAAAGUCAAUCUUAAAAUUUGAUAUUUCUUCCAGAAUUAAAUAAAAAGUCAUUCUACUUUGUACUUCUUUGAGAUUUCCAUGACUAUUAUGGCCUGUUUUAUUUCCAGGUAUAUUAUUUAAACACCUUGUUAAUUUACAUAGGAAAAAAUCCUACUGGACUUAAAAUUUGGUAUGUUUAAUCUAUAAAUAAAUUGAUCCCUUAGCAACACUGAGUCUUCAAAACUCUGAAGAUGCUUUAGCGAUUUAUUUAGGUUUUCUUCAGUUUUUCCUACUUAGGCAUUUUCAUUGGGAACCCUUGUACAUAUUCCAUUACAUUUAUUACUAGUUUAUUUUUACUGAUAUGGUAAAUGGAAAAUUAUUAGUAUAAUUUCUAUUUUAUUAUCUAUAAUUGUUAAAUAAUUGAUUUGUAUAAACAUAUCCAGGGACUUUGCUAAAUUCACUUGUUAAUUGUAAUAGUCAGUAUAAUUCUUUUAUACUUUAUAGGUAUACAGUCAUGUUGUUUUCAAGUGAUAACAUUUUUCUUCUCAUUAAUCCUUUUCAAUUUUUUUUUACAUUUUAAAUUGCCCUUGCUAUUUUCAUCAUGUUUAUUUGUCUUCUUUUUCUAGCAUCAAUUUUCAUCUUAGAAAAUAUAUGUUCACUAAUGCCCUAGAUUUCUCUGUAAGCACAUCUUAGGUACAUGCCAAAUGUUUAAUAUAUUCUAUUUUCCCUAUCAUCAGGUACUCUUGGAAUCUUCUUCCUUUGAACAUAGUCUGCUCAUAUAUUUAGCAACAUCAAAGUUAAGCAGGGUAGUCCUUUGAUUUAAUUUUCUUCCAACUUUUAAAAAUCUAAUUUUAAGUAUAAGAAAGAGUAUUUUUACUUGUUUCAGUGAAUAUAUUUGCCUUCUAUCAUCUACUGAAUUACUAUUUGCUUUGGUCAUAUUGUGUUACUUUUCAGGCUUUAUUCUUUUUGGAAUCUGUCGAAUUUUUACUUUCAUUUUCCCGGACUAGCUGUUCUUCCUAACACAAAUCUAAUACAAAUCAAUAUAUCUAUUCUUUUCCCCUAGAAAUAACAUUCCUAAAAUUUUAAUUUAUCGCACUCUCCCAUCUUACAUUUUUGCUGUCCACUAUUUUACUUCCUUGUUAUUUUAAGCCCCAUAACAUAUUAUUAUUAUUAUAAUUAUUGUUUUGUAUGGUUAUUUAGGAAAGCCUAUUUACAUUUUCUUUGAUUAUCCUUUCUUCUUUCCUUCACAUCUUCCUGAAACAUAUUCCUCAAAAGUCCCUUCAAAGAGUCUGUCAGUAGUAAAAUCUCACCAUUUUUACUUUUGAAAUAUGUAUUCAUUUCUCCCUCAUCCUUAAAUCUUAGUCUGACUUAAAAUUGUAAACUCUAUCACUUAAGAGCCAUUAUUUUACUGCCUUUGACUUAAAUUGUUACUGUUAAUAAAUCAGAAUGAUUAAUUUCUUUGAAGAUAAACUGUAUUCUCAGUGUGUUUGGUGGCUGAAAAGUUCACCAUGGUAUCCCUAGAUAUUUUAUUUUUCUGUAGCCCAUAUGGGUUUAGUUGUACUGCCUGAAACUGAAGUUAUAUGCUUUCAUUUUGUCAUCAUUUUUUUGUGUGGGGGGAUGCUAUGCUCAUGGCAUGUGAGAAUUCCUGGGCCAGGGAUCGAGUUCACACCAGAGCAGAGAUACUGCAGGGAUAAUGCCGCAUCUUUGACCUGCUGUGCCCUAAGAGAAUGCCCCAUGGUGUCUUUAAAUUAUCCAGUGUUCUCAGCAAGUAUCUUUGAAAUAUUGCUUCUCCAAUUCACUUUAUUCUUUAAUUUUAGAAACUUAUUGAAUAACACAAUGUCUUUUUCUGGUUGCCUUGAAUCUUAACAUCUCUUUCAUAUACUUUUCUAUACUCCAUUAUAAGUAAUCUUUUAUUUCCUACUACUAGACCAUUAAUUUUUCAGCAAUGAACAAUCAGAUGUUUAAAACUUCUCUUCAAUCUUUAAAUGUAUGAUAUUUGUAUUCCCAGAAGUCCUAUUUUUAUAUAUUAAUCUUGUUAUCUAUAUAUGAAUGUUAUCUUAAUGUUAAAUUCCAUACAAUUCCAUAUUUUGAUAUUUAUGUUAAAUGGAAAGGCUUAAAUUCUACUAUUUUCAUUUGGUUUUCUUUCUGCUGAACCUAGCUUAUAAUAGCUUGAUGUCUAAUGUGUUUUGUUCAUUUAUAUUUUGAACUUAUUAUGGAAUAGAUCUGAGUUAACAGCAUUUUAAACCUAAAGAGAUUUGCUUAUUCCCUGCCAAGCUUAGACUCCAGAGCUUUUAUCAUUGUGGCAUUAUUUUAAAUGCUAUUUUCUCAGUGUGAUUUUGCCAACACCAUGAAGGCAACACAUGUUAAAAACCUAAGCCUCUGUUAUGACUGGAUUGUGGUUAUAAAUCUUCACAUAUAAGUUUUCCCACAUAGAGCCUAGAUGGGGAUCAAUUGAAUAUUGUGCAGAUAUUUUCACUAAUUGAGUCUGUGGCCCUUUGUGGUCCUGCUUCUAUUUAGAUUUAACUCAAAAUAUUCCCUUGUGAGGAUGCCGGCCUUAUUUUUUGAGCUUGGAUGGCCAAUAUAACAAAUUUCCCAGUUACAGACAUCUGAAGCAUCAGUGUGACUUUACAGUUUCAGAUUUCAGACUCCCCCAACUCCAACAUAACCUCCUUCAGGUUUUCCCUAUUCUAUUGUGAACUCAUUUCUUCACUGAAAGGAUUUUUGUUUGUUUGUUUAUAUUUUACCAAGGAUUUCUAAAGCCAGUUUGUAGCAAAUGAGUUUUCACAGUAGAUCACCAUCUUGCUGGGUCCAGUAGACUGACAUUGUAAAUUUUGCUUUAGUCUGUGUUUGUGCAUUUGUAUGGCAUACCUGAGUGUGAAAAAAUGGGCAAUGUUUGCCACAGAACAUUAUGCAGCAAAGAUGUUAAUAAAUGCCAUUAAAUGAUCUGUAACUCUUCUUUUAGGACCUAGGUUCUAGCUCCUGGUCCUACAACAGAUUAACUUGCCACCCUUAUCUUAUUCUGUUGUAGUUUAUUU
rnacentral:lncRNA from 1 species